rnacentral:tRNA from 1 species
GGGGCUGUAGCUCAGUGGUACAGUGCUUGCUUAGUAUGCAUGAAGCUCUAGGUUCCAUCUCUAGCACUGUCA